rnacentral:rRNA from 1 species
CCUACGGGAGGCAGCAGUAAGGAAUAUUGGUCAAUGGACGCAAGUCUGAACCAGCCAUGCCGCGUGCAGGAUGACGGCCCUCUGGGUUGUAAACUGCUUUUAUACGGGAAGAAACCUCUGGUUGCGAUCAGAGCUGACGGUACCGUAAGAAUAAGGACCGGCUAACUUCGUGCCAGCAGCCGCGGUAAUACGAAGGGUCCAAGCGUUAUCCGGAUUUAUUGGGUUUAAAGGGUGCGUAGGCGGCUUAUUAAGUCAGUGGUGAAAGACUUCAGCUUAACUGAAGAACUGCCAUUGAUAUUGAUGAGCUUGAAUAUACUUGAGGUGGGCGGAAUGUGUCAUGUAGCGGUGAAAUGCUUAGAUAUGACACAGAACACCGAUUGCGAAGGCAGCUCGCUAAAGUAUGAUUGACGCUGAUGCACGAAAGCGUGGGGAGCAAACAGGAUUAGAUACCCUGGUAGUCCACGCCCUAAACGUUGAUAACUCGAUGUGUGCGAUAUACAGUACGCGUCCAAGCGAAAGCAUUAAGUUAUCCACCUGGGAAGUACGGUCGCAAGAUUGAAACUUAANAAGAAUUAGAGGNGNGAGAGNGCGAGGACGACACGAGGGAGGAGG